rnacentral:tRNA from 1 species
UCCCUGGUGGUCUAAUGGUUAGGAUUCAGUGCUUUCACCACUGCAGCCCAGGUUCAAACUCUGUUCUGGGAA